UUAAAAGUAUCCCUUGAUUUUAUCAACAAGGAACUCGCCUGCAAAAUCAAUAAUAUAUUUCAUUUCCACAAUAACUCAAUAGCGAAGUUCAAAACUAAAAUCUAACACCGAUUCCGCUCAAAAAUAAGAUGACUUAUAGAAAGAUCCACUAAAUAUGUGUCUCAUUAGACCAGAAAACGAAAUCAUUUUCAGUAUUCAGUCACUACCACAACAAAUCCGCCACAUCCUUGAAUGGAAUCAGCAGUCGCCUGUGGGAAAUUGCAUGUGAGUAUAAUUAUAAAGAAUGCCGCAAAUAAAUAAUAAUUUAUGGCAGCCAUAGCAAUUUUUCGAUCUGAGAUAAGUACACGGAACGCAUAAAUCUCAAUUGUGCAUGGUUUUGGUAAUAUUGAAAAGUUGGCUUCAGAUUCAGUGAAGCAAUCUCCAGGGUUUAGGGGUUUCAUCUUUGUUGGUC
rnacentral:lncRNA from 1 species